GCCCGAGUGGUGAAAUCGGUAGACACAACAGAUUUAAAAUCUGUCGCUUUCCGAAAGGGGCGUGCCGGUUCGAUUCCGGCCUCGGGCA
rnacentral:tRNA from 1 species